rnacentral:rRNA from 1 species
UACGUAGGGGGCAAGCGUUGUCCGGAAUCAUUGGGCGUAAAGAGCUCGUAGGCGGUUCGGUAAGUUGGGUGUGAAACCUCCAGGCUCAACCUGGAGACGCCACCCGAUACUGCUGUGACUAGAGUCCGGUAGGGGAGCGUGGAAUUCCUGGUGUAGCGGUGAAAUGCGCAGAUAUCAGGAGGAACACCAGCGGCGAAGGCGGCGCUCUGGGCCGGAACUGACGCUGAGGAGCGAAAGCGUGGGUAGCAAACAGG